rnacentral:lncRNA from 1 species
CCCCAUACUUAGGCUUUUACUCGUCCUCGAGAAAAGGAUGGUUAAGAACAAUAUCUGGGGUAAACAUUUAAAACAUUCUCUUUACAAUUGCAGGGUGUUAAAAAUUCCACUGUGUACCAUAGUCAGGGAAGUAUAUGAUUAAGAGUAAAGAUCCUUUCUUCUCAAUCCUGUCACUUGGAGUUUUUUGUAUAUUUUUGAAAGAAAGUUAGCAUACCUUUUGAUCCUCAUAGGUUCUCUCAGAUCACUCAUUAUCUUUUAUAUAUAUAUCUCACUGAGGCUGUUUUAUUUUGCAAAAAUUCUCAAGCAUACUUACUUUGGAUUUAUUGCCUGAUCAAAACGGGAUCUGAGGAGGGAAAUGUCAUACUCUUAGAUCAAAGACUUUGAAAAUUAAAAACUUUGUCAUCUCUUGCUGGCAUAUUGCUUAUUAGAGGGACCAUGGGCUAUCAUUUUUUUUAAGUGGAUACCGAGGUACCCCUAAUUCUACUGCCGGACACUUGUCCAUUUUUUUCUGCGAGGUUGUCGAGCACUUGCUCCUUUUUAUUUCCUUGAAAUAUCUCUAUUUUUGCAUAGCCCAUGCCUCUAAUGCAAUAAUACUUCGGAAGAGUGAAUCUUACUGAAAUAGUGUCUUGAUCUUGGGAGCAUGAUAAAUCUCUCAACAAGUGUCUAACUCAUUUUGAACAAACUUAAUACAGAGCAGAUAGCUUUUAUAAUCAUAUUUACUAUUUCAGUUUUAUCAGGCAUAUAAAACACUGAGGAUGGUAGCUAGAAAUUUGAAUAUUUUGAAAUAAAUUCUCCAAGCAACAAUGAUAUCAAGAAUAAGAAACUCAUACUCUACCAUCACAUAUUCCAUAUUGACUUAAG